rnacentral:rRNA from 1 species
AUGAACGCUGGCGGCGUGCCUAAUACAUGCAAGUCGAGCGAACAGACGAGGAGCUUGCUCCUCUGACGUUAGCGGCGGACGGGUGAGUAACACGUGGAUAACCUACCUAUAAGACUGGGAUAACUUCGGGAAACCGGAGCUAAUACCGGAUAAUAUAUUGAACCGCAUGGUUCAAUAGUGAAAGACGGUUUUGCUGUCACUUAUAGAUGGAUCCGCGCCGCAUUAGCUAGUUGGUAAGGUAACGGCUUACCAAGGCAACGAUGCGUAGCCGACCUGAGAGGGUGAUCGGCCACACUGGAACUGAGACACGGUCCAGACUCCUACGGGAGGCAGCAGUAGGGAAUCUUCCGCAAAGGGCGAAAGCUUGACGGGGCAACGCCGCGUGAGUGAUGAAGGUCUUCGGAUCGUAAAACUCUGUUAUUAGGGAAGAACAAAUGUGUAAGUAACUAUGCACGUCUUGACGGUACCUAAUCAGAAAGCCACGGCUAACUACGUG